GCAAGUCGAGCGGCAGCGGGAAGUAGCUUGCUACUUCGCCGUCGAGCGGCGGACGGUUGAGUAACGCGUAGGAAUCUGCCCGGUAGCGGGGGAUAGCCAGGAGAAAUCCGGAUUAAUACCGCAUACGCCCUACGGGGGAAAGGAGGGGAUCUUUGGUCCUUCCGCUAUCGGAUGAGCCUGCGUGAGAUUAGCUUGUUGGUGAGGUAAAGGCUCACCAAGGCGACGAUCUCUAGCUGGUCUGAGAGGAUGAUC
rnacentral:rRNA from 1 species